CAUUCUUUUACUAAAAACAUAGCCACCGCCAAUGCAUUAGAGGGCAUAUCUUGAUGUUAUAACCUUAUGGAAGUCCAAUAGAAGCUUAUUUAUAGAUGGUACUCCUUUUAAAUUUCAAAAAAUGUUUAGCAUGUGCUCCCCUCCCUCUUUGUUGGUGCUGCCUAUCACAAAUUGUUACAUUUGGAGGGACUGCAACUAUCUAACUCCCUUUAUGGAUGGAGAUUUACAACCUAAUGGCCCAACUUUGAGAUAAUCAUAUUCCUAACCAACCAGCCACUGCUUUGCUCUUGUGGUUUCCACUGUACAUUCCUUAUGAAGCUCAAGUUUUGGCAAUUCAUUUAUUUUUGGUGGCUGAUAGGAAAUACAUGGAAAUCUUAUCUAUGACUUACAUUAACCAAAUUGCUUCUAAAGACCCAAACUAAUUGUAUGAAAAAUGUGCUGCAUAUUCAACGUAACAUAAAUGCAAACUUGGAAAUGGCAGCCAGUAGGUGCCGAAACAUUGGGGGUAUUGGGGGCUCGUGUUUCUGCCAGAAUAGGCAAUUAUUACUGUUUGUUUUGUUAUGCUUAUAUAUUGUAACUUUAUAUUUUGCAUUAUGCUUAUUGUACCAAUUAUUGUUUUAUUAAAGUAUUUGCAUAACUCUUUGUAGUGAUUCUAGUGUGCAUUCUCUAUUUGAUAUAUUCUAAAGAGUUUUAUUUAACCAUGAAAAUAUUUGUUCAACAAAAACAAAUCGUGUCAAAAAUAUACCAAAAAGACAAACGAUGAUUUUCAUAGAAAUGGUCCUCAUAGAGAACUGGAUGUCAUCUGACAUGUUCAUCAUUAUAAAGUCAUCAAAGUAAAUAAGACAAUAUAAACAUACAGCAAACAUGUAUGUAAGAGACUCCACUGAUAUAGUUCACAGAUGUUCACACUGUAGAAAUGAAAACUAUUCAAACCAAUAAUCAAGGGUCAUCAUCUGUCCUGAUCUUGGGGGUUGGCAAUAAAAGUAGAAAUACAGCAGAGCACUGGGAAGAAGAGUUCUGCCCUAAAUGUAAUCUAUCAUUUCACAAUUAUUCACUACAGUGUGAAUUGUUGGGAAUUUAAAGAAAUUACAAAGCGAAUUUCAAAUUUGAGGCCACAAUAGUUGAAGUGGAUAAGUUCUCAUAGUUAUACAUACAGUAUAAGGUGGAGUAUAUAAAUAGGAAUUCUUCCAAGUGUAAUUUAAAACAGGAUAAUGUUCUUUAACAAUUCCCUAAAAAUGAACACAAAUAGGGAAAAAGAAUAGUGCAAUAUUGCCAAUACACAAUGUAUAAUUGUAGUAAAUAGGUAGUGGAGCACUCACAAACAUAGAGCCACUAGGUAGGCUCAAAG